rnacentral:rRNA from 1 species
AGGGUCCUACGGGGGGCAGCAGUGGGGAAUAUUGGGCAAUGGGCGCAAGCCUGACCCAGCAACGCCGCGUGAAGGAAGAAGGCUUUCGGGUUGUAAACUUCUUUUAAGAGGGACGAAGGAAGUGACGGUACCUCUUGAAUAAGCCACGGCUAACUACGUGCCAGCAGCCGCGGUAAUACGUAGGUGGCAAGCGUUAUCCGGAUUUAUUGGGUGUAAAGGGCGUGUAGGCGGGAAUGCAAGUCAGAUGUGAAAAAUAUGGGCUCAACCCAUAGCCUGCAUUUGAAACUUGAUUUAUUGAGUGGUGG